rnacentral:rRNA from 1 species
CCUANGGGUGGCAGCAGUCGAGAAUUUUUCACAAUGGGGGAAACCCUGAUGGAGCGACGCCGCGUGGGGGAUGAAGGGCUUCGGCUCGUAAACCCCUGUCAUUUGUGACCAAGGUUGCCGGUUUAAUACAACGGUAACUUGAUGGUAGCGAAAGAGGAAGGGACGGCUAACUCUGUGCCAGCAGCCGCGGUAAUACAGAGGUCCCAAGCGUUGUUCGGAUUUACUGGGCGUAAAGGGUGCGUAGGUGGCGGAGUAAGUCUGAUGUGAAAUAUAGCAGCUUAACUGUUAGGGUGCCAUUGAUACUGCAGGGCUUGAGUACAGAUGAGGUAGGCGGAAUUGACGGUGUAGCGGUGAAAUGCAUAGAUAUCGUCAAGAACACCUAUAGCGAAGGCAGCUUACUAAGCUGUAACUGACGCUGAGGCACGAAAGUGUGGGGAUCAAACAGGAUUAGAUACCCUGNUANUC